GGCUCGGUAGCUUAGUUGGUAAAGCGCUCGUCUAGUAUACAAGAGUCCUGGGUUCAAAUCCCAGCCGAGCAC
rfam:Aedes aegypti strain Liverpool supercont1.113 genomic scaffold, whole genome shotgun sequence.